CAACCCUCAAGCCCCCAGCGGCUUGGUGUUGGGGACCGGCGACCCCGGGCAGGCGUCGUCCUCCCCGCCGCCCCCGAAAUGAAUUGGCGGUCUCGCCGCGGCCUCCUCUGCGUAGUAGAACAACCUCGCAGCGGGAGCGCGGCGCGGCCACUGCCGUAAAACGCCCGACCUUCUCUCAGAG
rnacentral:misc_RNA from 1 species